rnacentral:rRNA from 1 species
UGUAAGCGUAUACCAAAGUUGUUGCAGUUAAAACGCUCGUAGUCGGACUUUGGCAGUUCCGGAUGUGUGCACGUCGUGUGCGCACUUCGCGGGGAUUGCUUUUGUGGUCUUGCGUAGGAUGAGGCACUUUUAUUAGUGAACGUCCUCACGCAACCACUUUUUACUGUGAGAAAAUCAGAGUGCUCAAAGCAGGCAUUUGCCGUGAAUGUAUUAGCAUGGAAUAAUAGAAUAGGACUUGGUUCUAUUUUGUUGGUUUGUUGGGACUGAGUAAUGAUUAAGAGGGACAGUUGGGGGCAUUUGUAUUUCGGCGCUAGAGGUGAAAUUCUUAGAUUGCCGAAAGACAAACUGCUGCGAAAGCGUCUGCCAAGGAUGUUUUCAUUGA